GCUGGGGGGUGGGUGGGGUGUUCCCCCUUUGUGAUGCUACCCCAGAACCCCAUCCCCAUGGCAGCCAGAGACAUGGGAUUAUACUCUCCCCGCUGGCUUUCCCUCCUUGGAUUCUUCUUGAGUGUUUGAAUGUUCACAAGCACUGCUGAUCCACCAAGAUUUUUCAGGAGACCAUAAAUCACCCUAAAUAGCCCAAGCCUGUGGGAGUUCCUUGUCUUUGGCCUGGAAUCUGCCAAGGCAGCUCAUGAAAGCUGAUGACCUUCCAGGAGAUGCGGGGACAGAGGAUAAAACCACGUCCCCGUCACCCAGCCCAGGAGCCUCAGAGCACGUCCUGCUGAGCACAGACAGCCCUGAAAGCUUCGGUGCCAACCCCCUGCUCUGCAAUGAGCAGCCACUCCCAGAUUCCCUGGUGCUGGAUCUCGCAUACCUGCCCUACUACAGAACACCUCACGUCUGUCUCAGCCCACCUUCCCGCCCUGCAUCCUCACACACCCUCACAGGGGCAGAAGGAAGCACCAGGGAAGGCAAGGCUGACACCAAGCAGGAUGAGAAAAGUGUCCCACCGAGGCUGGAGCUGAGCAAGAGGAC